ACUGUCUUUUCAAAGCGGCCUCCACGGGGCGGACAGUGGGCAACAGCUUUUGCUGGCGAACAGCUUUC
rnacentral:ribozyme from 1 species